AAAGUGGCGCACGGGUGAGUAACACGUAGGUAAUCUUCCUCGAGUGGUGGAUAACCCUCCGAAAGGAGGCUAAUACAGCAUGAGACUACGGCUUCUCCGGAAGCUGAAGCCAAAGCGGGCCUCUUCAUGAAAGCUCGCGCUUGAGGAUGAGCCUGCGGCCCAUCAGCUAGUUGGCGGUGUAACGGACCACCAAGGCAUAGACGGGUAGCUGGUCUGAGAGGAUGAACAGCCACACUGGAACUGAGACACGGUCCAGACUCCUACGGGAGGCAGCAGUGGGAAUCUUGCGCAAUGGGCGAAAGCCUGACGCAGCGACGCCGCGUGAGUGAUGAAGGCCCUCGGGUUGUAAAGCUCUGUGGGGAGAGACGAAUAAGGGCCGGCUAAUACCCGGCUCGAUGACGGUAUCUCCUUAGCAAGCACCGGCUAACUCUGUGCCAGCAGCCGCGGUAA
rnacentral:rRNA from 1 species